UACAGAGGGUGCAAGCGUUAAUCGGAAUUACUGGGCGUAAAGCGUGCGUAGACGGUUGCGUAAGUCAGAUGUGAAAGCCCCGGGCUCAACCUGGGAAUUGCAUUUGAGACUGCGUAGCUAGGGUGCGGAAGAGGGAAGCGGAAUUUCCGGUGUAGCGGUGAAAUGCGUAGAUAUUGGGAGGAACACCUGCGGCGAAGGCGGCUACCUGGACAGUGACUGACGCUGAGGCGCGAAAGCGUGGGGAGCGAACGAGG
rnacentral:rRNA from 1 species